CUGAGGGUGUCUGUAAGCAUCGCUGUCACCGCCUGACACGGAAAACCUGAGCGGAGAGCCAACCCCCAAGCCGACAGAGCACUGAGAAGCUGUGGCCAGAGGGCAGAGCAGUCGUAGGUAUGCAGCACACACGGAGGGAAGGUCAGAACUCAUCUCCCACGUGGGCUCUUUCCAGGCCACAGCAGGACGCUGGAUUUAGCAAUGAGACAGCGCUCAAGGAUCUGGAUGCGCAUCGAUUCUCCACCUCCCUCCCAAGAAAAUGGUUUUAAGGCCGGUUGUUUUUGGAAUGGGUUUUUCCCUGUUUGUCCAGGCAAGGUUGGACUGUUAAACCAGUUUAUCCUAAAGAGGGCAGAACAUGGACCUGGGGCCCAAGUACUAGGGACACAUGAGAGUUAUGGGAGCAGCCAACACUUGUCAAAGUGCUUUUCCACAUCCAUUAUUUUACCACAUCCAUUAUUUUACUUCUCACAGCAACCCCACGAAGCGAAUGGCAGCAUGCCCAUUCCACAGGUUACUGUGUGCAGCUUACAGGGAGUGUGUCCCCGACUAUGCAGAUGGGGUCCGUGCACCCUUUUGACAGAUGGACCACUCAGGGACUGAGUAGUGGCCCUGCCUUUUCCCUGGAAGUUAUAUGAAAAACAGUCCCAGUUCUGGUUCUGCCUCAUGAAGAUGGCACCUGGCCUCCCAGCUUAGAAGACUGGCCACUGACAAAAGUCUCUGUGACCCCGCCGUGGCUUCCUCUGCUCUCCUCUGAGACCCAAGGCGGCUUCCAUGGACAGUCGGAACGAGGAAAGUAAAGCAGACAGAAGCACACAGGGGAGAUGGGACUGGAAAGAGAACCCCCCCCCCACGAGCCCCCCGCUCCCACCUGCCUUGCCACACUGCGGGCUGAUUCUGCUCUGAUGGGCUUGCUGGUGUCUGCCUUUGAUCUUGGUUUUAAACACGAGCAUGUGAGGGCACCUGGGUGGCUUGGUGGUUGAGCAUCUGCCUUUGGCUCAGGUUGUGAUCCCUGAGUCCUGGGAUCGAGUCCCACAUCAGCCUCCCUGCAGGGAGCCUGCUUCUCCAUCUGCCUAUGUCUCUGCCUCUGUGUGUGUGUGUGUGUCUCUCAUGAAUAAAUAAAUAAAAUCUUUUAAAAAAAAAAGGAAAG